GCGCUCAUCUUAGCAGCAUGUGUACUAAUACUGGAUCGAUAUAGAAAAGAUUAGCAUGGCCCCUGAGCAGGGUUGACACACAAAGUCAUGAAGCAUUUCGUAUAGUU